rnacentral:rRNA from 1 species
CCCUUAGAUGUUCUGGGCCGCACGCGCGCUACACUGAUGCAUUCAACGAGUCUAAAACCUGCUCUGAUAGGGGUGGGUAAUCUUUUGAAUGUGCAUCGUGAUUGGGAUAGAUGAUUGCAAUUUUUCAUCUUCAACGAGGAAUGCCUAGUAAACGCAAGUCAUCAGCUUGCGUUGAUUACGUCCCUGCCCUUUGUACACACCGCCCGUCGCUACUACUGAUUGGAUGUUUAAGCGAGGUUCUCGAACUGCUAGCGACUUAGCUUCGGUGAGGUCGCAGUGUGGGGAGUGAACCUGGCUUUGGUGUCUAGAGGAAGUAAAAGUCGUAACA